rnacentral:rRNA from 1 species
AAGGGUAAAAUUGAAAUUUUGUAAAGUAUAUAAACAUUAUAAGUGAAGCUAAUAAAUUUUGAUUAUAAACUAGGAUUAGAUACCCUAUUAUUUUAAAAGGUAAAUGAAAGGCAAAUAAGUAAGAGAUAGAUACUUUAAAAUUAAAAAAUUUGGCGGUAACUUAAUCUUUUUAGAGGAACUUGCUUUGUAAUCGAUAAACCACGUAAAAUCUUACUUGAGUUUGUAUACCGUCAUUAUCAGGUGAUUCUAAAAAGGAUAAAAUCUCUGAGUUUUAUUGGUUAGAUAAAUUAGAUCAAGGUGCAGUCUAUAAACAAGUUGAAGUGAGUUACAAUAAGUUAUCUUAUAACGAAACAAUAAUUGUAGAAGGAGGAUUUAAUUGUACACAAUUUUACUAAGUUUGUGAGAAAUAAGCUCUAAGUUAUGUACAUAUCGCCCGUCGCUUCC